ensembl:lincRNA 5930412G12Rik RIKEN cDNA 5930412G12 gene
AGCCCCAGCUUGGGGCUGGACCCCAGCCUCCAGCCUCACCUCCUGCCGGCCUCUCUGCUUGCCCUCCCCGCCCCAGAGGGGGGGUGGGAGGCCUUGAGAUUGUCCCCGGUACCCCAAGGACGCCGAGGUUACGGGAAGUUUGGGGACUCGGGCCCCAGGACCAUGUAGGAGACGCUCCUCAGGCCGCUGCUGUUGUGCGGGAGUUUUCACAUUAGGUUAAUUGAAGUUGGAAGACUCACCCUAGCUGUGAGCAGCACCAUCCAUAGGACUGAAGAAAAAAGGAGAAAGUGAGCCAAACACCAGCAUCCAUCUCUCUCUCUGCUCCCUGCCCCGAAGCAAGAUGCAAUGUGAGCAGCUACCUCACAAACCGGUUACUGUGGCUCCCCACCAUGAAGGGCUGUGCCCUUCAACCGUGAGCCGAAAUAAGCCCUUACAUAGUUGCUUCUUGUUGGUUAGUCUGUCACAGCAAACUAAUAGUAAGACAGAAGAAUCCCAGAAAUCGAUCAUUUAAAAGCCAACGUGAGUCACUUGGACAGUGAGCCUUUGGUACAUCCGGCUACUUACUGAGCUUCUGGGACAAACUAAGAUACUUGAUUGUACAGGAACUGCUGAAGCAAGAUGAGGAAGGAGCCUCUUCAUUUCACAGAUGGGAAACUGAGUCCCGAGAGUCACGUUAUAGCUGUGAUCUGAGAAGCCCCAUCUGGUUCAGGGGUCCUGGGUGACAUCUGCCUCGGAACAGCAUGCACCCAGGAAAUGUCAGCAGCCAGCUGGGGUUUCCAGGAACAGACCCUGUGGAGCUGUCAUCGUUCCUCCUGAACGGAGAAGCAUCUGUGUUCUACAGUCUCUUAAAAGGGCUGUUCAAAGUCAGAGAUUGAAGGGGAGAGAUGUUUAUUUAUGACCUCAGCUGUGGCAUCUCAGGCUGGUUACUUAACCUCUCUGAUCUGAUUUCUGUUCCCUUUGCAUUAAAAUGAAGGUAAUAACGUCAAUUUUAUUUAUUUAUUUUUUAAGACUUGGGAUGGAGUGAAUAUCAGACAGCUACAAGGAAGGAUUUAGAAGCAGGCCACUUGGCCACUUGGGAUUUACUAGCCAGCAGACUCCCUGGCUAGUUGAGUGUGUGAGUGUUUGCCUGUAACUGUACCUGUACACAUGCCUACUUGGUGGCCGAGGAGGCCAGAAGAAGGUGGUCAGAUCUCCUGGAACUGGAGUUAUAGGCGGUUGUGGGCCACCAUCUGGGUCCUGGGAUACUGAACCUGUGUCCUCUGCAAGAGCAGCAAGUGUUCUUAACGGCUGAGCCAUUUCUUCGGCCCUCUUUCUUCAAUUCUCCAUUGUCCUGCUAGAAGGCAGAAUGACUUCGUCGACAACCUCAUGCAGGAGUGGAACCAAUCUCCUUCCCCGUGGGUGGCUGGGCAUGUAGCUUCCUCUUUCUGUCUUGAGUGUUGCCAAGGAAAAGGGGCUGCAGAUCUCCCCUGGAUUGCAGAGUGGGAGACAAAGCAAGGGCCCCAGAAGAGCUCUCUGGAUGCUCCUGGCUACUGAAUCAACCGCAGAGCGCCCUCUGGGGCUGGGGUCUGACACUGUUACCCCUCCUGGCCUUAUGGACGCAGAUCCAUCUCAGCCUCACAAUGAAUUCAAUGGUUCCUGAAAGCUUGUGCUCAGCCUGCCCACCUUCAUCCACAGGGCAACAUGGGAGCCAGACUUCUCUCUGUGGUAUAAGGCCCCAGUAUCCUGAGUUCUUCCAGGAGAAGGAAGAUGGCGAAGACAGUGAGGGAAGAGAGCAGACGUCUGACUCCGGGGUGCUUAUCUGUGUGGAAGAGACCGGUUCUUCCUGACUGGCUUCAUGUCCCUCAAGAUCCCAAAGAAGGCUAUGGCUAUUUCAAAGCCAGAGAAUAGGGGCAGAGACUCAGCAGCCUGCUCCUGGGUGCAAAGAGACAAGGCCAGGUGCAGCCUGUGCUCACAGUCUUGGAAGCUUGGUGGUGGUGGAGCCCCACUUUCUGUGUGCCUGUGUGUGCAUAUAUCUAUCUGCGCAUGUGUAUGGAGGCCAGAGGACAACCUUGACUGUCGUUCACAAAGUGCCUCUCACAUUUUGUUGUGCUGGAACUUCGCCUAAGAAGUGGGUUAAACUGGCCAGUAAGCCUCAGGAGUGCUUCCGUCUCCACCUUCUCAGUGCUGAGAUUACAAACUGGAGCCUUGUGUCUGGCCUUCAACGUGGAUUCUCAGGAUCCAAGGAUCCAACAUUGGGCUCCCAUGCUAACAAGGUGUUCUCCUGGCUCUUCAAGUAUUUACCCGUCUGUGUGUGACUCAUAUCCAGGAACCCAGGCAGCUUCCCUCAAUAGAUUGCUGGCUUCAGAAGAUGAGCCUCCCCUGCCGCUCCACAAGGCUCAAGUGCUUCAAUGAAAUAAAAGAGAACUGAAAUAAAAGAGAAAUAAAAGAGUCUG